CUUGGAGGGAGAGAAAUGGAGGGUGCCUGAGGGGGAUGUGCUAAAGCCAAAGCACAUUUGCCCCCUCCCAGCGGGUAGGGGAGUGGUGGAGGCGGAGCACAGAGGUGUGGCCUGUCAGAGAAGGCGUUGUUACGACAGCACAGAGAGUACGGCCCUAGGAGCAGGACCCUGCACACAGCUGAGCUCAGAGGCUCCAGUCUGGCCACGAGAAUGCAAUGGGAGGUAUUCUUCAUUGAUCUUACUCGAAGUUGAGAACAUGUAUUUUGACUCUGAGAAAUGUUUGGAGGUCAACUGCAGUGAGGUCUCUAUACCACAGAGUGUUGUUGGCGUCUCACAUGGCCAUUCAUCAGCUCAAUACAAACAAGUCUUCACGGAGGUGGAGUUUCCUCCUCACCUGUUGCUAAACCAGGCAGCGUGGAUUGGCAUAUUCACUGACUUCAUGGCACGAAGGCCUACAAAAGCGGAACAACUUUUCACCAGUGCAAAAAUGUUCCAAAAGAUACUCUCUCUGUCCAAUACACUUAAAGAAAGACAGGAAAGUUCGGAGGCUCCACACGUACUAAAU
rnacentral:lncRNA from 1 species